UACAGAGGUCCCAAGCGUUGUUCGGAUUCACUGGGCGUAAAGGGUGCGUAGGUGGUCGGGUAAGUCUGAUGUGAAAUCUCUGGGCUCAACCCCAGAAAUGGCAUUGGAUACUAUUCGGCUAGAGGAGUGGAGGGGGGACUGGAAUACUUGGUGUAGCAGUGAAAUGCGUAGAUAUCAAGUGGAACACCAGUGGCGAAGGCGAGUCCCUGGACACUUCCUGACACUGAGGCACGAAAGCUAGGGGAGCAAACAGG
rnacentral:rRNA from 1 species